rnacentral:rRNA from 1 species
GACGAACGCUGGCGGCGUGCUUAACACAUGCAAGUCGAACGGAAAGGCCCUGCUUUUGUGGGGUGCUCGAGUGGCGACCGGGUGAGUAACACGUGAGUAACCUGCCCUUGACUUUGGGAUAACUUCAGGAAACUGGGGCUAAUACCGGAUAGGAGCUCCUGCUGCAUGGUGGGGGCUGGAAAGUUUCGGCGGUUGGGGAUGGACUCGCGGCUUAUCAGCUUGUUGGUGGGGUAGUGGCUUACCAAGGCUUUGACGGGUCGCCGGCCUGAGAGGGUGACCGGCCACAUUGGGACUGGGAUACGGCCCAGACUCGUACGGGAGGCAGCAGUGGAGAGUAUUGCACAAUGGGCGGAGGGCAGAUGCAGCAACGCCGCGUGCGGGAUGACGGCCUGCGGGUUGUAAACCGCUUUCGCCUGUGACGAAGCGUGAGUGACGGUAAUGGGUAAAGAAGCACCGGCUAACUACGUG